rnacentral:rRNA from 1 species
UACGGGGGGGGCAAGCGUUGUUCGGAAUUACUGGGCGUAAAGGGCUCGUAGGCGGCCAACUAAGUCGGAUGUGAAAUCCCCAGGCUCAACCUGGGAACUGCAUCCGAUACUGGAUGGCUUGAAUUCGGGAGAGGGAUGCAGAAUUCCAGGUGUAGCGGUGAAAUGCGUAGAUAUCAGGAGGAACACCGGUGGCGAAGGCGGGUCUCUGGGCCGUAACUGACGCUGAGGAGCGAAAGCGUGGGGAGCGAACAGG